AGUAACACAGGGAGGGCUCAUUGGGGGAGGACAGGACAGGGAGGGCUCAUUGGGGGAGGACAGGGAGGGCUCAUUGGGGGAGGACAGGGAGGGCUCAUUGGGGGAGGACAGGGAGGGCUCAUUGGGGGAGGACAGGGAGGGCUCAUUGGGGGAGGACAGGGAGGGCUCAUUGGGGGAGGACGGGACAGGGAGGGCUCAUUGGGGGAGGACGGGCCAGGGGGGGCUCAUUGGGGGAGGACGGGACAGAGGGGGCUCAUUGGGGGAGGACGGGACAGGGGGGGCUCAUUGGGGGAGGACGGGACAGGGGGGGCUCAUUGGGGGAGGACGGGACAGGGGGGGCUCAUUGGGGGAGGACGGGACAGGGAGGGCUCAUUGGGGGAGGGGAGGACAGGGAAGGCUCAUUGGGGGAGGGGAGGACAGGGAAGGCUCAUUGUGGGAGGACAGGACAGGGAGGGCUCAUUGUGGGAGGACAAGACAGGGAGGGCUCAUUGUGGGAGGACAGGACAGGGAGGGCUCAUUGUGGGAGGACAGGACAGGGAGGGCUCAUUGUGGGAGGACAGGACAGGGAGGGCUCAUUGUGGGAGGACAGGACAGGGAGGGCUCAUUGUGGGAGGACAGGACAGGGAGGGCUCAUUGUGGGAGGACAGGACAGGGAGGGCUCAUUGUGGGAGGACAGGACAGGGAGGGCUCAUUGUGGGAGGACAGGACAGGGAGGGCUCAUUGUGGGAGGACAGGACAGGGAGGGCUCAUUGUGGGAGGACAGGACAGGGAGGGCUCAUUGUGGGAGGACAGGACAGGGAGGGCUCAUUGUGGGAGGACAGGCCAGGGGGGGCUCAUUGGGGGAGGACGGGACAGAGGGGGCUCAUUGGGGGAGGACGGGACAGGGGGGGCUCAUUGGGGGAGGACGGGACAGGGGGGGCUCAUUGGGGGAGGACGGGACAGGGAGGGCUCAUUGGGGGAGGGGAGGACAGGGAAGGCUCAUUGGGGGAGGGGAGGACAGGGAAGGCUCAUUGUGGGAGGACAGGACAGGGAGGGCUCAUUGUGGGAGGACAAGACAGGGAGGGCUCAUUGUGGGAGGACAGGACAGGGAGGGCUCAUUGUGGGAGGACAGGACAGGGAGGGCUCAUUGUGGGAGGACAGGACAGGGAGGGCUCAUUGUGGGAGGACAGGACAGGGAGGGCUCAUUGUGGGAGGACAGGACAGGGAGGGCUCAUUGUGGGAGGACAGGACAGGGAGGGCUCAUUGUGGGAGGACAGGACAGGGAGGGCUCAUUGUGAGAGGACAGGACAGGGAGGGCUCAUUGUGGGAGGACAGGACAGGGAGGGCUCAUUGUGUGAGGACAGGACAGGGAGGGCUCAUUGUGUGAGGACAGGACAGGGAGGGCUCAUUGUGUGA
rnacentral:lncRNA from 1 species